GAUGAAGAACGUAGCGAAAUGCGAUACGUAAUGUGAAUUGCAGAAUUCAGUGAAUCAUCGAAUCUUUGAACGCACAUUGCGCCCGCCAGCACUCUGGCGGGCAUGCCUGUUCGAGCGUCAUUUCAACCAUCAAGCCCCAGGCUUGCGUUGGAGCCCUGCGGCUGCCGCUGCCUCCUAAAAGCAGUGGCGGGCUCGCUAUCACACCGAGUGCAGUAGAUUACUCUUCGCUCAGGGCGUGCAGCGGGUUCCGGCCGUGAAACCCCCUACUUUUAAAGGUUGACCUCGGAUCAGGUAGGAAUACCCGCUGAACUUAAGCAUAUCAAUAAGCGGAGGA
rnacentral:misc_RNA from 1 species